rnacentral:rRNA from 1 species
GGCAGGCCUAACACAUGCAAGUCGAGCGAGGACUUCGGUCCUAGCGGCGGACGGGUGAGUAACGCGUGGGAACGUGCCCCUUGGUACGGAAUAGCCCCGGGAAACUGGAGUAAUACCGUAUGAGCUCUACGGAGGAAAGAUUUAUCGCCAAGGGAUCGGCCCGCGUUGGAUUAGGUAGUUGGUGGGGUAAUGGCCUACCAAGCCGACGAUCCAUAGCUGGUUUGAGAGGAUGAUCAGCCACACUGGGACUGAGACACGGCCCAGACUCCUACGGGAGGCAGCAGUGGGGAAUCUUAGACAAUGGGCGCAAGCCUGAUCUAGCCAUGCCGCGUGAGCGAUGAAGGCCUUAGGGUUGUAAAGCUCUUUCAGCGAGGAAGAUAAUGACUGUACUCGCAGAAGAAGCCCCGGCUAACUCCGUGCCAGUAGCCGCGGUAAUACGGAGGGGGCUAGCGUUGUUCGGAAUUACUGGGCGUAAAGCGCACGUAGGCGGACUGGAAAGUCAGGGGUGAAAUCCCGGGGCUCAACCCCGGAACUGCCUUUGAAACUCCCAGUCUUGAGGUCGAGAGAGGUGAGUGGAAUUCCGAGUGUAGAGGUGAAAUUCGUAGAUAUUCGG